GAAUUAAUGUUUGGAAGCCCCAGUGAGAUAAAGGCCCCAACCUUCAAUCAAAAACUGAACCCUUGGCACUCUAGGAUUGAAGAUCUGCUCCAUAGGGGGAAUACACCUUGGAGAUAUUCCAAAACCCUGGGGCACAGCUCCAGUUCUACAGAAUGUCCAAGCAAAGGGAUGCAUCAAAGGAGAGCAGGAAGCACCCAUUUAAGGAGGCAUCCUCUGGAAAAUCUCUCAGACCUUCUGGUCUGUCAGUCUAAGGCUUAUGCUGUUCUAGGCAACUGCUGAAGAGUUAAUGCUGUCCUAUGUGACAGCAGAAGACCUAUGGCAACUGCCCCAACAAAGUAAUUGAGACCACAAGAGCCUAGGAUAAUCACCCAAGCAGUGUCUUUAUCUGUCUUUGCAGAGUUCAAUCAGCUGGUACACACUCUCAAGAAAUCAGCUGUGGACUACAAACUGCUCCAAAGGUGAUCUACACUACACCAGUUUCAUGUUGUCCUUCAAAACCAGAAAGCUCUGGACUUGCUGAUAACUGAUGUAAACCAGUCAAUUCAGUGUGAUUUCUCCCUGUAUCUUCAGCUAGGUCAUCAAACCAAAUGCUUCUGAUGAAUGCCCCAAUGCCCUAGUCUCUCUCAGCUUCUGAUGAACAGUUCAGCCUUUGUGGACCCUGGCAACCACAUUGUAUUUCAGCAGAGAAGCAGUUACAGAAGAGAAUACAUUGGCCUUUAUCCUCAACUGAAGGCUGGAUAUUAGAUCAAACAGAAACUCUGUGGCAGAGGGGACAGAUGGCUACCUAUAUUUAUUGGCAUACCAAGAUUAUAUGUCCUGUGGUGUUUUGAAUAGGAAUGGCCCCCACAGACUCAUGUGUUUGAAUGCUUGGCCCACAGGGAGUGGCACUAUUAGGAAAUGUGGUCUUGUUGGAGGAAGUGUGUCCCUGAAGGCAGGCUCUGAGGUCUUAUAUGCUCAAGUUAUGCCCAGUGUGGCACACAGCUUCCUUCUACUGCAUGGGGAUCAUGGUGUAGAACUCUCAGCUUCUUCUCUAGCACCAUGUCUGUCUUCAUGCUUCCAUGCUUCUUGCCAUGAUGAUAAUGGACUAAAUCUCUGAAAUUAUAAGCCAGCUCAAAUUCAAUGUUUUCCUUUAUAUAAGCUUCCAUAGUCAUGGUGUCUCUUCACAGCAAUAGAAACCCUAUGACAUGGCCUUAUAAAAAUUUGUUCUGUGUUAACCAAAUAGAUACAUGAUUGGGCCAUGACUCUUUUGAUCCAUUAAAAUUUUGUUUUCUGCUAAGAAUGCUAAGAUCUGAUCAAGGAUUUGACAGGGAACCAUAAGACAAGGAGGUAAUGAUAAGCCUAUUAAAAUAAAAUCAAACUAGAUUCAUCCCUGUUUAUGAUUAAAUCUGUUUCUCAAGGAUUGGGCUAUACCCUGUUUGUAAGCUUCACUAUAAAUGGUUCUGUACUGCCUGUUCUAGGAAAUGGUAAUCAUGUCUUUGUUUUAAAAAGCUGUUAUGACUAUCUCAUUAUGAUCAACUUGUUAUGACCACCUUGCAAACAUGUCUUUGUUUCAGGAAGUGGUUAUGACUAACUUGCUAUGCUUAUGUUCUGCUUCUGUAACUCUACCUAUUUGGCUUGCAAC